UACGGAGGGUGCGAGCGUUGUCCGGAUUCAUUGGGCGUAAAGAGCUCGUAGGCGGUUCAGUAAGUCAGGUGUGAAAUCUCCGCGCUCAACGCGGAGCGGCCACCUGAUACUGCUGUGACUCGAGUCCGGUAGGGGAGUGUGGAAUUCCCGGUGUAGCGGUGAAAUUCGUAGAUAUUGGGAAGAACACCGGUGGCGAAGGCGGCUCACUGGCUCGUAACUGACGCUCAAGCGCGACAGCGUGGGGAUCAAACAGG
rnacentral:rRNA from 1 species